AUUGAACGCUGGCGGCAGGCCUAACACAUGCAAGUCGAGCGGGGACUUCGGUCCUAGCGGCGAACGGGUGAGUAAUGCUUGGGAAUCUGCCCAGUAGUGGGGGAUAACGUCCCGAAAGGGACGCUAAUACCGCAUACGUCCUACGGGAGAAAGAGGGGGAUCUUCGCACCUCUCGCUAUUGGAUGAGCCCAAGUCGGAUUAGCUAGUUGGUAGGGUAAUGGCCUACCAAGGCGACGAUCCGUAGCUGGUCUGAGAGGAUGAUCAGCCACACUGGAACUGAGACACGGUCCAGACUCCUACGGGAGGCAGCAGUGGGGAAUAUUGGACAAUGGGCGAAAGCCUGAUCCAGCCAUGCCGCGUGUGUGAAGAAGGCCUUCGGGUUGUAAAGCACUUUAAGCGGGGAGGAAGGUUCGCGGCCUAAUACGUCGCGGAAUUGACGUUACCCGCAGAAUAAGCACCGGCUAACUCUGUG
rnacentral:rRNA from 1 species